GCAGCACUGGAGCAGCGAAGCCACCUCCUUUCCACCCCAGUGCCCGACGGGGUCUCUGCGUGUUCCUGUGCCCCAUGAGUCCCUGCCACCAGCACCAUGUGGUCACCAGCUCCUCCGCUCAUCCCAAACCUUCCCAGCUCACGAUGUUUGUCUUUAAUGACAAUUUUAAAGACCACGCUGGGAUUUCAGCAAAUCGCCCGCAGACCUGGCAUCCUCGGAGAGAUAACAGCGCAGCUUCACGGCAGGCUGAGAAAUUCAGCUACUGACACCCAUUGUGCCGGGCACAGCCACGACCUCGAGGGGAUUUAGCCCUUGUAUUGGGGAUUUCUGCAACAUAGCGACCAGGAGCCAGUCAAAGCCCGUGAAAUCACACCCACAGCCUCAGGCACCAAGGGCAGGAACAGUUACGUCGCAGAGGGAUGACACUGCAUCGAUCCAUCGUGACACGGGGAUGUGAGAGGAAGAGCUGCAGCCGCCUCCUGCGGCCCCUGCACCACCUGCAGGGCUUGUUGCGGGACAGAAAAGAGCCUGAAGAGGAAUCGGGCUGAGACUUAUGUGUUUGGAAAGUGAAUUCCUGUCCGGGAUGGAGCGUCAGAGCCCACGGGAAAGUGGACACUGUGUUUCUUCCACGCUCACCGUCGCUGGAGUUCAUUGCCCUCAGCUGGGUCUCCAGCACCCGCGGUGAUUUCCAAGGCGUGAGCUGUCGGGUUUGCUGUGUGUGAGCUUGGGAGAGCUGUGCCUCAGUUUCCUCACACAUAGACCAGAAUUUAUAGGAACAGUCUUUAUAAAGUGUAAAGCCUUUGUAUCAUAUACCGCUCUACAAAGAUCAA